UACGUAGGGUGCGAGCGUUAAUCGGAAUUACUGGGCGUAAAGAGUGCGUAGGCGGUUCGUUAAGUCAGUUGUGAAAGCCCCGGGCUCAACCUGGGAAUUGCGGUUGAAACUGGCGAACUAGAAUCUGGCAGAGGGGGGUGGAAUUCCACGUGUAGCAGUGAAAUGCGUAGAGAUGUGGAGGAACACCGAUGGCGAAGGCAGCCCCCUGGGCUGAGAUUGACGCUCAGGCACGAAAGCGUGGGGAGCAAACAGG
rnacentral:rRNA from 1 species